CGACUCCUAACCUGCCGGACUGCAUUACGUGCCGCAGCAAGACCCUAAAGUUUCGAUAGACAAACAAGUUCGAAGACUCUGAGGACCGGAGAUGCAACUUUUCCAUAGUGCCCUUGUGCUCGCAGCUUUGGUAGACAUCUUUUUGCUGCCAUGCUCUCGAGCAUCUUGUCCCGAGAAGAACCCAAAACCACCUCUCCAAUUCUGUGGAAAGAAUCGGGAG
rnacentral:lncRNA from 1 species